rnacentral:misc_RNA from 1 species
AAGUCGUAACAAGGUAACCGUAGGUGAACCUGCGGUUGGAUCAUUAAAAAUGCUAUGGUAGACUUGAGGGAACAGCGCCGCGCCAUGGGCAGCACUUCCUCUGGCUCAUUUAUGAGUCAGAUGUGACCAGUGCUAAGCAUGGAAUGUGACGCGCGUUCAACAAAAACCUCAUGCCUAUCAUGAGUCGCUAACCCGACCAACCUCUAUGUGAACUGUUACCGUCUCUGGCGAGUGGGUAGCCUUAAAAGCUACUUGUCAGCGGAGCUCCUUUUGAUUCAUCAACAGGUCCUGCGUCGUGGACAACUCGUCAACCCCUUUAUUACCAACUUUUUGUUAUAACAUAUCUGUCUGACAUUUUUUGUAACAUAAUUACAUAAAACAACUUUUGGCAACGGAUCUCUUGGCUCUC